AUGCGCGGGCGGCGAGGGUCGGGCUACUCACGGGCUCAGCGCUCCCCGCGGCAGGUGACGGGGGCCCGGCGGCCAUGCCCCGGCUGCAUCCCGGCCGCCGAGCGGGGGCAGCGGCGUCCCGGGGCCGCGCGGGCACCGCGAGCCGGCGGCGAGUGGCACGCGGGGCCGGGCUCGGGCGGCGGCGGCCGCGUCUCCUCCGACCACGCGAGCGGCUGGGGCCGGGGCCGGGGCCGGGGCCGGGGCCGGGGCGGCUAUCCGAAGAGGUUCCGCCGGCUCCGGAGCAGCCCCGCGGCUCGGCGCUCCGCACUCGCUCUUCUUCGCCGCCGCCUCCUCCUCUCUCUCUCUCUCUCUCCCCCUCCCUCUGUACCCCUCCCUCCCUCCCUCCUCUCUCUCCUCUCGCCUCUCUCUCCUCCCCCUUUCGCUCUCUCCCUCUCCCCAGUUCCUCCGGCUCGCUCGGCUGGAGCGAGGAGACAGCGGGAGCACGCGGCGGCGGCGGCGGCGGCGGCGGCGGCGGCGGCUCGGGCGGAGCGCGCAGCGCACGGCGAGGGAGGGGGCUCGGGCGGCCGCGCGGCCGGGGACAGCAGCGGGGCGGGGAGGCCCGACGCACCCUGGCGGCCCGCAGCGCCGGCCCCCGCGGAGCCCCCGAAAGGAAGAAGUGGGCGAGGCGCAGGGGUCCCGGGAGCCCCGAGCUGCGGGGGUCCCCGUGAGCGCCGCCCACCGGCCCUGGCCCCGCCUUUCCUCCCUCCCCCUCUCCCUCCCUCCUGGCGAUCUCGGGGGCAGGCAGCUCCUAUGAGGACCGCUGCCCUCCCACCUCCCUGGCCGUGGCCCAGAAAGGACAACACUGGGGCGCCCCAGAAAUGCAACUCAGGCAGGGGGAGAGAAUGCCCCCCCACCCCCCCCACCCACACACACUCCUCUGCCGCUGGUCUGCAUUGCCUUGCCUCCUCUUCCUCUUUGCCCACAGGCCUGAAAUCCCCGGCCUUGCCACUCUCUCUGGAUGGAGAGUGGAGGGGCCACACAGGGGUCACUGCUGGGGUGUUUGUCCAGACUGGCCAACCCAACCUAUGUAAACACUUCUGCCCUGGCUGGAGAAGUGGGGCUGUCACUGUCACAGGUCAGCUUAGGUUGCACCUAAAAUCAGAAGAACAGGCAGUCCUGUCCCCGCCCCACCACCCCAGCCCCCUCUCCCAACCCCAGCGAAGGAGCUCUGGUUUAGGGGCUGGGAGGGGAGAUGGAAAGCCAAAGCAAAGGGCCAGUGGAGUGGGGAUCCUGUGGGGCAGCGGGAUGAGACCCUUGGGGGUCAGGAAGGUCAGCACCAAAGGCAGGCAGUAG
rnacentral:lncRNA from 1 species